rnacentral:lncRNA from 1 species
GAGCAUCCCUAAUCUGAAAAUCCAAAAUGCUGCAAAAUCUGAAACUUCUUGAGCACUGACUUGCUGCUCAAAAUGUUCUUUGUGGCAAUUUGGAAUUUCGAAUUAGGAAUGCUCAACCAGUAAAUAUAAAGCAAAUAUUCUCAAACCUGAAAAAUUUUGAAAUUCCAAACACUUCUGGUCCCAAACAUUUCAGAAAAGGGAUACUCAACCUAUGUAGCAAGAGACAACCUCUUGUUUCCCUCCAUCCUACCUAGAAUGUUAAGUUUCAGUAGGAGCAACUUGAUUUAGAACACUUGUCUUCUCUCCUACCUCAAUGACCAAAGGCAGUUUUCCCUAAAAUGCUUUUCAGGGACAUGGAGGGUGCCUGUGUGUGGGAGAUGUAGCUUCAGGAAAGGAUUGACCUGAGUUUAGGUAAUGACCUACUGUGUGACUAAAACUGCUUUAGAGUGAUUAUGGGAAGUGCUUCAAAGUAAUUUCAGGAUGAGUAUUAUAGAUGAAAGAACAUUAGCUGUGUGUCAUUGAAUAAUUAUCGUUGAAACUUAGGUUCAUUAUGCUAUUUUGUUUGAAAUUUUUGAUAAUAAAAACUACCUUGGUAACCUGCCAUCUGGAGAGGAGAUGUUUGCUUAUGAAGUUAGUAUGAGUUUGGGUUUUUUGAAAUGUUGUCUUGAAUCCUGAAAAGAAUUAAACUUAUAAGGUUGUAGAGAGGCUGUCACAUAAGGUCCGCCCCUUAAAACAUCUGGAGUUUUGGGGAAAGCUAUAGGAUGGAAAAUGGGUUCUUGAAAUUCUGUAAUUAAUAUUUGCUAGCUACACGUAAAACUAGUUUUAAUAAACACAUGACAUUUAUUUGUAGUGGAAACUAAUUGAGGUAAGUGAACCAAUUCUGGUUUUAUUGUUUCAGUAAUUGUUUUCCCAAUAAUCACCACUUUUUUUUUUUUUUUGAGAUGGAGUUUCUGUCUUGUCGCCCAGGCUGGAGUGCAAUGGUGCGAUCUCGGCUCACUGCAACCUUCUCAUCCCGGGUUCAAGUGAUUCUUCUGCCUCAGCCUCCGGAGUAGCUGGGAUUACAGGCAUGUGCCACCACACCCGCCUAAUGUUGUAUUUUUGGUAGAGACGGGGUUUCUCCAUGUUGGUCAGGCUGGUCUCAAACUCCCAACCUCAGAUGAUCCGCCCGCCUUGGCCUCCCAAAGUGCUGGGAUUAUAGGCAUGAGCCACCGCGCCUGGCCGAUCACCACCACUUUUGAGUUUACUUUUUUUCUUAUGGCCGCUGGUGAGGGGGGAUCUUGGAAACAAGAAAAUCUGACUAUUGUUUAGUAUUUUUCCUGGUAGGUGUCUCUUGCCACUGAGUAGACCUUUUGUAAAGGGGAUGGGGUCUUUACAAACAAUAUUGAGGUUAAACUGAAUCAGUUCUUAUGAAUUCAGACCAGUCAGUGAAUAAAAACGUUAAAAUCUGUUCUAGCCAAACAUUAUUGGUUCAUAGUAUUGAUUUAUUAGUGUUAUAUGGAUGGUCAGUCCCCUCACAUAAUUAGCAAAUCUUUCUUGCAGAACUUUUGGCUCUUUCCAGACUAUAUAAUUCAGGUUUUUCCAAAUUGUUUGCAGAAUUGUUGAAAAAAUUCUACCCUAAUACUAGACUUAAAAUAAUGUUUUAUUUCCUUGCUCUGGUAUGUUGGCUGCCUCAAAGUGAAAAUUUUUACCUUCAUAAAAAGCUAUUUUAUAUUCAGUUGUUUUGUUUGUUUUAGCAGUUGAAGUUUGUUUUGAUUUUCUUUGAUUCCUUUUAGCUCUGCUAAAAUAGCUUCAACUACCCAAGAAGUUUUUCCUUUCCUGGUUGUUUUGAAACAUGGCAUAGGAUUUUGUUAAUUUAGUUCUUUUUCUUUACUCACUGCUUAUUUUUUUUCCAACAUUUUCUUAUAAAAAUCUUUUAAACACAGAGCAGUUGAAGGAAUUGUUCAGUUAACGUGUAUAUUUACUACCUAAGUUCUAUACUUAACAUUUUCCUAUACUUGCUUUUUCACAUAUCCAUCUAUAAGUCCUCAUUUUUGAUGCAUUUCAAAGAAAAUUGCAAACUUAAGUACAGAUUACCUGUAAACAUUUCAUGCAUAUUGUUAACCAGAGUUCAAUAGUUGUUAAAGAUUUUUUUUCUUUUGAGGUGAAGUUUACAUGCAGUGAAAUGCACAAAUCUUAAGUGUUGGAUGCAGUGAGGUUUGACAAAUCACAUACUUGUGAAACCCAAGCCCUGAUCAAGAUAACAUUAUCAUCCCCAGGAAGUCUCUUCAUGCUUCUUCCCAGUCAAAUCUUUCUAUCCCAUUCCCCUGGGUAACCACUCUUGGUUCUGAGUUUUCCCCAAUAGAUUAGUUUUCUGUUUUUCUAACUACAUAAAUGAAAGUAUAUGCUCUCUUGUGUAAGGCUUCUUUCAGCAUAAGGUAUUUGGGAUUUAUCUAUGUUGUAUGUAUCAAAAAUUUAUUGCUGAAUAUUAUUUCAUUGUAUGAAUAUGCCAUAGUUUAUCCUUUUGAUGGACACCUGGGCCGUUUCCAGUUUUUUUUACAUAUUAUAAAUAAAGCUUCUAUGGAUAUUUUUCUGUAAAUCUUUUUAUGAGCACCUGUUGUUUCCUGACUUUUUAAUGAUUGCCAUUCUAACUGGUGUGAGAUGUUAUCUCAUUUGUGACUUCUUACCAAGAAAAUAUACUCAAUUUUUCUUAGGUACCUUUAUUUAUUUAUUUUUGAGACAGUCUCGCUCUGCCGCCCAGGCUUGAGUGCAGUGGUGUGAUCUCAGUGCACUGCAACCUCUGCCUCCCAGGUUCAAGUGAUUCUCAUGCCUCAGCCUCUCAAGUAGUUGGACUACAGGCGUGUACCACCAUGCCCAGCUAAUUUUUGUAUUUUUAGUAGAGAUGGGUUUCACCAUGUUGGCCAGGCUGAUCUCAAACUCCUGGACUCAAGUGAACCACCCAUUUUGGCCUCCCAAAGUGCUGGGAUUACAGGAGUGGGCCACCAUGCCCAGCCUCAAUUUUUC